GUCUGGGUGGCUCAGUCGGUUGAGCGUCCGACUUCGGCUCAGGUCACUAUCUCGCGGUUCGUGGGUUCGAGCCCCGCGUCGGGCU
rnacentral:tRNA from 1 species